rnacentral:rRNA from 1 species
UGGGGAAUAUUGCACAAUGGGCGCAAGCCUGAUGCAGCCAUGCCGCGUGUGUGAAGAAGGCCUUCGGAUUGUAAAGCACUUUCAGCGGGGAGGAAGGCGGUGAGGUUAAUAACCUCAUCGAUUGACGUUACCCGCAGAAGAAGCACCGGCUAACUCCGUGCCAGCAGCCGCGGUAAUACGGAGGGUGCAAGCGUUAAUCGGAAUUACUGGGCGUAAAGCGCACGCAGGCGGUCUGUCAAGUCGGAUGUGAAAUCCCCGGGCUCAACCUGGGAACUGCAUUCGAAACUGGCAGGCUAGAGUCUUGUAGAGGGGGGUAGAAUUCCAGGUGUAGCGGUGAAAUGCGUAGAGAUCUGGAGGAAUACCGGUGGCGAAGGCGGCCCCCUGGACAAAGACUGACGCUCAGGUGCGAAAGCGUGGGGAGCAAACAGG